rnacentral:rRNA from 3 species
GGACUACUGGGGUAUCUAAUCCCGUUCGCUACCCUAGCUUUCGCGCCUCAGCGUCAGAAGAGGUCCAGCACGUCGCUUUCGCCACCGGCGUUCCUUCCGAUAUCAACGCAUUUCACCGCUCCACCGGAAGUUCCACAUGCCCCUAUCUCCCUCAAGACAGCCAGUAUCAAGAGCACUUUUCCGGUUGAGCCGAAAGAUUUCACUCCUGACUUGGCCGCCCGCCUACGCGCCCUUUAAGCCCAGUGAUUCCGAACAACGUUCGCACGGUUCGUCUUACCGCGGCUGCUGGCAC